UCCCUAGUGGCUCAGACAGUAAAGCGUCUGUCUGCAACUCAGAAGACCUGGGUUCGAUCCCUGCGUUGGGAA
rfam:TPA: Bos taurus chromosome 1, whole genome shotgun sequence.